UUAAGAGAGUAUUCAGCGGCUUAUAGGCUUAGAUGGUGUGGUAAGGAUAUGAUUAGUUCUUUGGAUACUUAUGAGUUAAUGAGUUUAUACAAGUGUUUAGCGACAAUGCUCUUGGGUUUUACUAGCCUGCGUAGCUUGGUUGAGUUAGAAGGAUUCAGUUCUGACGGUUUUGUUUUGUGCGAAUGAAAUUUGGAAAGUUCUUCAUGAUUCUACCACGGUUAGAGGUGUGUAUUUUUCCAUAAAGAGCAUAGGAUGUAUAGUGAUUUUCUCCCAGCUGAGAUCUAAUAGAAAAGUUCUUAGCUAAUUGAGUACGCAGCUUCUCGUGGCCUAGAAAGGAUAUGAAGUUCUCGUAGUUAUCCUAGGAUGGUACGGUUUAUGUGAUAUAUUGUGUAGGAUUUAGAUUUCCAUGUGUAAGGGCACGGUUGAAAUUUGACAGGAAGGUCACAAAUCCUUAAAUAUCAUGGGCAGCUUCAGAUGACUAGAUAAAUGAGAUCACUUAUUGGUGUGGCUUGAUGAGGUUAUAACAUUUUAGAGAGGGAGACGUGUUUGAGUUACAUAUGCUUUAUUGGUAUUGUAGCACUCUCUUGUCUGAUCGAUGGAUGAUAUUCGAGUUUGCUUGGUGGCUCAAAGGGAUUAUAGGUGUACAUCUCAUGAGAUGAUUGGGUACUAGAGGUGUGUUAUAUAUGUGAACGGCGGAAUUGGGAUCAGAUAUGGUAAUUCAUGUGCUUUAUGGACUUGGAGACUAGAAGUUCUCCUGUACAGGUUAGCUUGUGGUUAUGGACGGCAAAAAUAUGGGUAAGUUAGUCAGAUAAUGGUGUAUGCUAUGAUUCAGUCAUUGUGAACCUUCGGAGGGUCAUUUAUCUAUUGUGGGUGACAAGAGUUGAUGUGUGGUUCAUUGGUACACCUAUAUGGAUGUGUGUUCUGUAUCACGAUGGCUUUGUUGACUUCGAGUUGACAUUGGUAAGGGAUAUGUUCAUUUGGUUGUUAUUGAGCUAUUAGUAACCAGGGGGAUCUAUGAGUUACCUUCUGUGUUGUGAGCCAUUAGGAUUUGUUGAUUAUAGGCACAUGUGGCGUGGUGUUAUUAGGGCCUCUCAGUGGAAUUCAAGCAGGAAGAGCACUGGGUAUUUCUUGGUGGAUGGCAUAUUGGUUAAGUCCUUUCGAGUUGUGUGGUGUUAUGUAAUUGCCUCGCGGUGGUUAUGAUGAUUGCUUUGGUUUUAGAUUGUCGAUUUUGAGCGUAGUGACUUAAGGUUUCUCAUGUGGACCAGUGUUUGGAUGAGGUCGCGCAUUGGAUCGAAGCUAUGUGGAAGUAUGACACUGCGGGUUAGAUUCGUGUCUUCUGUUUCUACCAUGUGUGGCGGGUUCUCAACCUUUUAUUGUGGUGGUACUAGUGAGCUUGCGGUACAUCGCUUUCAUUUGAGUCAUUUUCAAGAUUUGAGUAAGUUCGGAUUGUGGCUUAUUGGUGCAUGCCUUGCACAAGUCAUGGCUUUAGUCUGUAUUGAUGUAUCAAUGUCACCAGAGUAGUUGUGUUGGAUUAGAUGAGAUCGUCGUAUCUUUAAUGACUGCAAAUGGAUUUUAUUUUAGUAUGUUGGAAGGAUAACAUCGACGUUCUGCGCAGAAAUUUGCUAUGGUCUUUGCCAAAGGAGAAGUGGCUUCAUGAAUGGUUGAUCUGAGGAAACGAUUAUGGCUUACUAUGUGUUUCAUUAUCAUUUGCAGUAUAUGAAAGUGUUGGAAUGAGACUUUAGUCGAUAAGAGGUUUCCUAUCGAUAUUCAGUUGUUGUGUGCAGCUGCUGUGAUUAGAAGUUAUCGCUGCAAGCGUUUGAUUUAUGUGGUAUAUCAUGUAAUCAUACCGAGGUUGCAGGUACGGGUUAUUACAACUUGUUCGGGCUUGGUCAGAGUAU
rnacentral:lncRNA from 1 species